rnacentral:rRNA from 1 species
GCCAUCAUUUAAAGAAAGCGUAAUAGCUCACUGGUCGAGUCGGCCUGCGCGGAAGAUGUAACGGGGCUAAACCAUGCACCGAAGCUGCGGCAGCGACACGUAAGUGUUGUUGGGUAGGGGAGCGUUCUGUAAGCCGUUGAAGGUGGCCUGUGAGGGCUGCUGGAGGUAUCAGAAGUGCGAAUGCUGACAUAAGUAACGAUAAUGCGGGUGAAAAACCCGCACGCCGGAAGACCAAGGGUUCCUGUCCAACGUUAAUCGGGGCAGGGUGAGUCGACCCCUAAGGCGAGGCUGAAAAGCGUAGUCGAUGGGAAACAGGUUAAUAUUCCUGUACUUGGUGUUACUGCGAAGGGGGGACGGAGAAGGCUAUGUCAUCCGGGCGACGGUCGUCCCGGUUUAAGCGUGUAGGUGGGCAGUCUUGGUAAAUCCGGACCGCUGUAUAACACUGAGGCGUGAUGACGAGGCACUACGGUGCUGAAGUGACAGAUGCCCGGCUUCCAGGAAAAGCCUCUAAGCUCCAGGUAACAUUGAAUCGUACCCCAAACCGACACAGGUGGUCAGGUAGAGAAUACUCAGGCGCUUGAGAGAACUCGGGUGAAGGAACUAGGCAAAAUGGUGCCGUAACUUCGGGAGAAGGCACGCUGGCAGUAGGUGAAGGGACUUGCUCCCGGAGCUGAAGCCAGUCGCAGAUACCAGCUGGCUGCAACUGUUUAAUAAAAACACAGCACUGUGCAAACACGAAAGUGGACGUAUACGGUGUGACGCCUGCCCGGUGCUGGAAGGUUAAUUGAUGGGGUUAUCCGUAAGGAGAAGCUCUUGAUCGAAGCCCCAGUAAACGGCGGC